rnacentral:rRNA from 1 species
UUAAAAAGUUAAAAGCAUGCAUGUAUUAGUACGCUUCACAAGGUGAAACCGCGAACGGCUCAUUAGAACAGCUAUAAUUUACUCGAUCUUGAACACACUACAAGGAUAACUGUGGUAAUUCUAGAGCUAAUACUUGCACCGAAGCUGUCCCCCAGGGGCAGUGCAUUUAUUGGAGCAAAACCAAGCGGCUUCGGCCGUUUUCGUUGACACAGAAUAACUAAGCUGACCGCACGGGCUUGUCCCGGCGGCGUGUCGUUCAAGUAUCUGCCUUAUCAACUUUCGAUGGUAGUGUACGUGACUACCAUGGUUGUGACGGGUAACGGAGGAUCAGGGUUCGACUCCGGAGAAGGCGCCUGAGAAAUGGCGACUACGUCUAAGGAUGGCAGCAGGCGCGCAAAUUACCCACUCUCGGUUCGAGGAGGUAGUGACGAAAAAUAACAAGGCCGUUCUCUACGAGGCCGGCCAUUGGAAUGGGUACAACUCAAACCCUUUAACGAGUAUCAAUGAGAGGGCAAGUCUGGUGCCAGCAGCCGCGGUAAUUCCAGCUCUCAAAAUGCAUAGAAUCAUUGCUGCGGUUAAAAAGCUCGUAGUUGGAUCUGUGCCGGCGCCGUGGUUCACCCUGACGGGCGAUACUGCGUGCGUCGGCUUUGGGCCGGUCUUCGGCCGGUGGCCUUCACUGGUCGCCGUCCGUGGCUGGCUGGUUUACUUUGAGCAAAUCAGAGUGCUCAGCACAGGCGUCUUGCCGGUAUGUUCGUGCAUGGAAUAAUAGAACAGGAUCACGGUCCUCUUUUAUUGGUUUUGUGGACUGAGAUAAUGGUUAACAGAGACGAACGGGGGCAUUCGUAUUGCUGCGUGAGAGGUGAAAUUCUUGGACCGCAGCAGGAACGGACUACAGCGAAAGCAUUUGCCAAGCGCGUCUUCAUUAAUCAAGAACGAAAGUCAGAGGUUUCGAAGGCGAUCAGAAUACCGCCCUAGUUCUAACCGUUAAACAUGCCAACUAGCGAUCCGCCGGCGGCUCCAAGGCCCUGGUGGGGAGCUUCCCGGAAACGAAAGUCUUCCGGUUCCGGGGGAAGUAUGGUUGCAAAGCUGAAACUUAAAGGAAUUGACGGAAGGGCACCACCAGGAGUGGAGCCUGCGGCUUAAUUUGACUCAACACGGGAAAACUCACCCGGCCCGGACACCGUAAGGAUUGACAGAUUGAUAGCUUUUUCAUGAUUCGGUGGUUGGUGGUGCAUGGCCGUUCUUAGUUCGUGGAUCGAUUUGUCUGGUUUAUUCCGAUAACGAGCGAGACUCCAGCCUACUAAAUAGUGCUUGCAUUGCUACUGUGCAUUGCACUUCUUAGAGGGAUUGGCUGCGUCUAGCGGCACGAAACGGAGCAAUAACAGGUCUGUGAUGCCCUUAGAUGUCCGGGGCUGCACGCGCGCUACACUGGCAAAGGCAGCGUGCUUGUCCGUCUCCGAAAGGAGCCGGUAAACCCUUGAAAAUUUGCCGUGAUUGGGAUCGGAAAUUGCAAUUAUUUUCCGUGAACGAGGAAUUCCUAGUAAGUGCGAGUCAUCAGCUCGCGUUGAUUACGUCCCUGCCCUUUGUACACACCGCCCGUCGCUGCCUAGAACUGAGCCAUUUCGAGAAUAUUCGGGAUCGCCGGUUGCGGGUCCUUCGGGGCACGCCUCUGGCCUGAGAACGAACGUAAUCGCAGUGGCUUGACCGGGCAAAAGUCGUAACAAGGA